GUUAUAUGUAGUUAUAACUACAUUACAGUUAUAACUACAUAUAUGUAGAUUCAAAUUCGGUGUUUAAUUUGAUGCGUUUGAAUUCAAUUGCUACAGUUGGAAUUGUAUAAGGAGGUUCCUUUAUUUUUUAAAUAGAAAAUACUAUUUUUUUCGACAUUACUGAUAUAUAUAAAAUGAUAAAAUUUUAAAAGUACAAAUCUCAACUUCAUACAACCAAACAAAUUAUUUAUAGUUAUAAUAUUUUGUACUAAUUCAACCAAAUAAGAUUUAUAUAAUUAUGACUGUCAUAUUUUUAAUUACAUGCAUUUUUAACUAUACUGUAUUUUUAAUUAUAUCUAAUUAAAUAAUUCUUUAGUUGCAGUUGUCAUCAAAAUGAGAUAAUUUCAUCUGCCAUUCUUACAUCAAAAAUAUAAAUCUCAAAUUA
rnacentral:lncRNA from 1 species